rnacentral:lncRNA from 1 species
CCAGUCAAGGAAGCCACACUCGGUUUGACCCGAGCCCAGACUUCCCUCUUCCUCUCCGCCUGCCUCCGGCGUCCUCCGCAUGACGCCGUCGUCUCCGGCCAUCCCUGGCGACGAGACCAUCUUCAAUCUCUUCCUCUCCUUCUCUUCUAUCUAACCCGGUCCAUGGAUCACACUUUCUUCUCGAUUCAGUGGUGAUCGAUCGAAGGAAAGCUCGACUGUGUUCUGCAAUUUCCGGUGAGCUCCGGUAGGGACGACGGCUAUGAAGGGUAUAUUCUUGUCCUCCUCACUUCCCUCUUCCUUGUUGUGUCUUUGUUUUUUUGAUUCGUGGCCAAAUUGGAGGAAGCCCUAAUUCUGUUUUAUGGGUUUUCCGGCGAGCCACCGUCGUUGACGCCGUCGAGGUUUCUUGGUGUCUCUUCUCUCCUCCCCGACGUUGCAUUGAUCUCAUGGAGACCCAGUCGUUUCUGUUGAAGAUCAAGGGUGCUGCUGCUGUGGUGUUGGAGGCGUUGGUGAGCUCGGGUGUUGAUGAAAGCCAUGGUUAGCAGCGACGGUUUAGGCUGAGGGUGAACUCAGUCUGGUGAGGUUUAUAGCAAGGUGAGGAAUCUCUAGGUUUCUGCUUGGUUUGAUGAUUGAAAUGCUGCUGUGUUUUGUGGUAUGGUUGAUUGGUGAUUAAUCUUGGGUUUUUUGGUUGUUUGUAUGUCGAGAACUUGGUAUAUUGAAGGAUAUAGGGAGGUCAUGGCGAAAUUCCGGCAAGUGGCCGGAAUCCGGCAGAAUAUUCCGACAAGUCGUCGGACUCCGGCGAAGGCAGUUAGUACAUCAGGAGCAGUUGAGGUAGUUAUCGAAGUUUUCCUUUUUGUUUUGCGUUGUUUCUUAAAUAGGAAAGUUUGUCGGUUUAUAAUCGAAAAUCUUUUUAAGUGAGGAAAGUUCCUAUUUUGGGAAACUUUCCCUUUUUGGCAACUUCCUAUUUAUGGAAACCCUUUUUGGGUGCCCUUAGUAAAUAUUGAGGUGAAGUUGUGUAGAGAGGAAAUGAAGGAAAUUGUUGGUAUUGUUUGUAAGCAUGUUUGAUCGUAGGGGAUCAUAAAAUAAUUUUGGAAGUAUUUUAGUUAAUGUGUUAAGGCAGGGAAAUUGAUAGUGACUUUGAUUCCAGGUUAAGGUUCAGUCCGAAUACGUUAUAAUUGCGAAGUUUAGUCGGAAUUGAUUAUUAAUAUAUGUUGGUCAAUCCUGGUCAACCUAAGAUACUUGGUCAAUUUAAGAAGAAGUCGAAUCAAUGAUUAUAGGAAUCCGGCCGUAGGAUAUAAGUCUUUAAUUUGUAGAAGGUUGAAUUAGGGCUGCCGGUAUGUUCGGUGAAGUUUGAGCCAUUUUGGGGUUAUGAAGGACAAAGUUGGGCAAUGAUGAGUGUGUGGGAGGCUCACGUUUAAUUUUUGCCCAUUUUGUUAAUUAUUGGAUUUUUAGUUGGGAAAUUAAUUAUAUGUUUGGAUCAGGACGUGAGGAGGCUCGAGUGGAAGAGGUCUCGGAUCGACGUCAGGCUUAGGCCUAAAGUUGUGAGUGGACUUUUGUUUUAAAAUAUAUGCAUGCGGUGAUUCUACAUUAAAUGAUUGAUUUUAUUGAAUAUCAAUUUGUGGAUUUGUCUAUUUUCCCGAAGUCAUUUUCAGAAGUAAAUGUUCUCAUUUUUAAUGGCUAUCGUGUUAUUUGGAAAGUUACCGAAAAUAAGAUUUUCGGUAGAGUCGUGUGCGUAUUGCUUUUUAUGAUAAUUGGCAAUUUUCAUUAUUGUUGGAAAAUAACCGAAAUUGAGAAUUUCGGUGAGUAUGUAUAUAUAUCCAUAUUUGGAUGAUUAUGAGAAUAAUAUGUAUAUGAGGGAAUGCUAGCUAGCUAUACGUGCUUUUCCACCAUACUGAGGUAAAAUUCCAUUAUGGUGCGACGUGAGCGUUAGACGCAAUCGUUGUAGCCCUAUAUAAAAAUAAUAAUUUAUAUAGGGGAUAUGCGCGUAUAUUUAUACACCGUCUUUUCCACCAUAAUGAGGUAAAAUACCAUUAUGGUGCGACGUGAGCGUUAGACGCAAGCGUCGUAGCCUUGUGUGAAUUUUCUAUUUGUUUUUGUUGUUUCAAGAAAAUUCAUACAAGGGAUAUGACGAGUGUAAUACAUACAUAUUUUAUUUUAGCUUGAGAGGCUGUAUUUUAUUGAGCGUUGGAGACUGGCCAGAGCUAGUCAUGAAAUUGCCAGUUUUUGUGUUGAGCAUUUUUGAGCUGUUGCAUGCAGCAUAUUUUCUAUGGAAAUGUAAAUUGGGAAAGCAUAAAUAUUUUCAUUAAAUUUAUCUUUUUGUCCACUCACUCUAACGGUUUCAAAUGUUUUCCCCUGGGCUCUUCGUUUUAUAAAUGCCUAGUUGCAGGUUAGCAUAGUGAGGCUGAGCGUACAUGGUGAAGAGGCAUAGUCAAUAGUAUAGCUUCCGCUCAUUUUUAUUUAUUUCUAGUUCCUCUCCUCUCAAGUAGAGUUGCUCUGAAUAUGUGGUUGUUGGUUAUAGGAUCAUUUGUUAGAUUAGUGAAUCUAUAUUGGGAGAUGUUGUGAUUUGUGGGGAGCACGAAGGCUCCAGGAGUUAAGGUUGGAGUUGGAACUUUUAGAAGUGUUUGCAGGUGUUUUUUUUUAGGAAGGGUUGUCCAUUUUUAAGGGAGGUUAUGCCGAAUUUUCGGUAAAUUUUCCUUGCAG